rnacentral:rRNA from 1 species
UGCGUAGGGGGCGAGCGUUGUCCGAAGUUACUGGGCGUAAAGAGCUCGUAGGCGGUUAGACAAGUCGGGUGUGAAAGCUCGAGGCUCAACCUCGAGACGCCACUCGAUACUGUUUUUGACUGGAGUCCGGUAGAGGAGUGCGGAAUUCCUGGUGUAGUGGUGAAAUGCGCAGAUAUCAGGAGGAACACCAACGGCGAAGGCAGCCAUCUGGACCGACACUGACGCUGAGGCGCGAAAGCGUGGGGAGCGAACAGG